rnacentral:rRNA from 1 species
UAGCUAGUUGGUGGGGUAAGGGCCUACCAAGGCGACGAUCGGUAGCUGGUCUGAGAGGAUGGCCAGCCACACUGGAACUGAGACACGGUCCAGACUCCUACGGGAGGCAGCAGUGGGGAAUAUUGGACAAUGGGGGCAACCCUGAUCCAGCAAUGCCGCGUGUGUGAAGAAGGCCUGAGGGUUGUAAAGCACUUUCAGUGGGGAGGAGGGUUGAUAGGUUAAGAGCUAAUUAACUGGACGUUACCCACAGAAGAAGCACCGGCUAACUCCGUGCCAGCAGCCGCGGUAAUACGGAGGGUGCGAGCGUUAAUCGGAAUUACUGGGCGUAAAGGGUGCGUAGGCGGUUGAUUAAGUUAUCUGUGAAAUUCCUGGGCUUAACCUGGGACGGUCAGAUAAUACUGGUUGACUCGAGUAUGGGAGAGGGUAGUGGAAUUUCCGGUGUAGCGGUGAAAUGCGUAGAGAUCGGAAGGAACACCAGUGGCGAAGGCGGCUACCUGGCCUAAUACUGACACUGAGGCACGAAAGCGUGGGGAGCAAACAGGAUUAGAUACCCUGGUAGUCCACGCUGUAAACGAUGUCAACUAGCUGUUGGUUAUAUGAAAAUAAUUAGUGGCGC